UUUAUCGCUUCUGUGCUUUCUCUUAAUGUUAGGUUUCAAGCAGCAAUCUAUAUCACGGUUUGGAUGCUUCAGUUGUUGGCCUUGCAAUUAGUUCAGGGGUGCCUGCCUCAUCUGAACAUUGCACACCUUGGUGUGUUGGACUUGGGCUUGUGCGAGCUGUAGACAUUUCGAAAGAUAUACUCUAUUUAAUUACACCUGUCCCUCACAGCACUCUGGAAAAAGUUGAUCUCCUUUUGCAAGGCUCUAUUCAGAUUCCUACUUGUCUGUUGCAGGGAUGUGGAAGCUCAUCCCCUUGCAUGUCGGGAAAUGUGCCACAAAAUCUUGAGCAACCAGAGCUGGAUGAACAUAUUGCCAGGGCAGAAAAACAGUUAUCUGAACUCCAGUUUCAUUAGCUGAUACAGUUUCACAAACAUCAGGUAUCUUUUAUGGGAGGAUAGCACAAUCAAGCAAUUGCUAACUUGUCUCCACCGUGCUUCAUAUUGAAAGUAAAAUUUAUCUAGAUUCACUUUUCAUUCAUAUCUGACUAGGGUUCUAGAAAUCUCUCUUAUGAAACUUAUUCUGUCAAACGUAUUUUCAGAAGUUUAAACAUGAAUUGUUUGAAGCAUAUUGAUUUUAAACAUUCAUCUAUAUAGUUUAAGUACUGGUUGAAGAACAACAAAUGUCAUCAAUGGCUAUGCUUGACUUGUUUA